GCUCAUAACCCUUUGUGAAAUACCUAUAAUCGUUGCUUCCGCGGUGCGGGCCCCCAGCGGCCCCUCCCGGCCCCCCUCCUCGGGGGGCGCCCGCCGGAGGCCAAAACUCCAGUCUUUUAACGAAGUCUCUUCUGAGUGGCACAAGCAAAAUUUAUCAAAACCUUUAACAACGGAUCUCUUGGUUCUGGCAUCGAUGAAGAACGCAGCGAAAUGCGAUAAGUAAUGUGAAUUGCAGAAUUCAGUGAAUCAUCGAAUCUUUGAACGCACAUUGCGCCCGCCAGCAUUCUGGCGGGCAUGCCUGUUCGAGCGUCAUUUCAACCCUCAAGCACUGCUUGGUGUUGGGGCGCCGCGGAGACGCGGGCCCCCAAAUACAGUGGCGGACGCUCCCGGAGCCUCCUUUUGCGUAGUAACCAAAAACCUCGCACUGGGACCCGGGGCGCACCAGCCGUAAAACCCCCAAACUUUCCAAAGGUUGACCUCGGAUCAGGUAGGAAUACCCGCUGAACUUAAGCAUAUCAAUAAGCGGAGGAAAAGAAACCAACAGGGAUUGCCUCAGUAACGGCGAGUGAAGCGGCAACAGCUCAAAUUUGAAAUCUGGCCCCAGGCCCGAGUUGUAAUUUGCAGAGGAUGCUUUGGGCGCGGUGCCUUCCGAGUUCCCUGGAACGGGACGCCAUAGAGGGUGAGAGCCCCGUACGGUCGGACGCCUAGCCUGUGUAAAGCUCCUUCGACGAGUCGAGUAGUUUGGGAAUGCUGCUCAAAAUGGGAGGUAUAUUUCUUCUAAAGCUAAAUACCGGCCAGAGACCGAUAGCGCACAAGUAGAGUGAUCGAAAGAUGAAAAGCACUUUGAAAAGAGGGUUAAACAGCACGUGAAAUUGUUAAAGGGGAAGCGCUUGUGACCAGACUUGCGUCCGGUGAAUCAUCCAGCCUUCUGGCUGGUGCACUUCGCCGGCUCAGGCCAGCAUCAGCUCGCUGUCGGGGACAAAAGCUUCGGGAACGUAGCUCCUCUAGGGGAGUGUUAUAGCCCGUUGCACAAUACCCUUCGGGGGCUGA
rnacentral:rRNA from 1 species